UCUGUGUUAAAACUUGUGACACUAUUGUAUUGUUAUUACACAAAAACUUGAAAUUAAUUGUUCCUUGUAUUCUUGAUUCAUAUCUAAGCACUCUGUAUUAUAUUAAUAUGGCUACUGCUAAGUUUGAAAUUACUCAAUUUAAUGGAAAAGGUGAUUUUAAUAUGUGGAGUCAAAAGAUGAAAGCCAUACUUAUGCAAAUGAGAUGUGCUAAGGCAUUAGAUGAUAGUUGGCCUCAAGCUAUGAAUCCU
rnacentral:lncRNA from 1 species